rnacentral:rRNA from 1 species
GACGAACGCUGGCGGCGUGCUUAACACAUGCAAGUCGAACGGAAAGGCCCUGCUUUUGUGGGGUGCUCGAGGGGCGAACGGGUGAGUAACACGUGAGUAACCUGCCCUUGACUUUGGGAUAACUUCAGGAAACUGGGGCUAAUACCGGAUAGGAGCUCCUGCUGCAUGGUGGGGGUUGGAAAGUUUCGGCGGGUGGGGAUGGACUCGCGGCUUAUCAGCUUGUUGGUGGGGUAGUGGCUUACCAAGGCUUUGACGGGUAGCCGGCCGGGGAGGGUGACCGGCCACAUUGGGACUGCGGUACGGCCCAGACGCCUACGGGAGGCAGCAGUGGGGAAUAUUGCCCAAUGGGCGGAAGCCUGAUGCAGCAGCGCCGCGUGCGGGAUGACGGCCUUCGGGUUGUAAACCGCUUUCGCCUGUGACGAAGCGUGAGUGACGGUAAUGGGUAAAGAAGCACCGGCUAACUACGUG